UUAGGUAUUAGUGGCUUGAGCAUCUCAAUAAGAAAGUUUAAAGAGGUCUUUGGUGGAUUGGGCUCCACCACGCCACACUCAUCUACUUCUAUCACUGUAAUCAUGCAUAAAUAUUUGUAAUAGGACAAUGCAUUAAGUGUUUUGUAAACCUUGAAGAUCACCUCUUCAUCAUCAACCUUUAUUGUGAGCGUGCCCUCUCUUACAUCUAUCAAUGCUCCUUUCG
rnacentral:lncRNA from 1 species